UCUUUCAUUAAGGCUGUGUGCUGACUCCCACGUAGGAGAACUUAUUAAACCGCACGUACUGCCUGACCCCCCAUCCGCGGCAGCCGGCAGGGGGCGCCACAGCCUCGCUAAUGACUCGCCCGCUGUCCCAGCACCCCGGCCGGGAACCGAUUGGGGUUAUUGGCUGCCUGUUACCCCGCGUCCCAACAUUUGCUGGAGUCGCUUCUAACUAUAAUACUCACCGCAACCGGGGGGCUCACCCUACCCCGCCCUGCCCCGCCGCCACGCGAGGCGGUGACCUCCGGCGUCUCAGCGAAGCCUGACUCGCACCCAGGACACGCGCCUCACAUGAAGAGCAGCGCUCGCGACAGCUCAGCGUCCGCAGGGAGCGACCAGAACGCCGUGCACCGCGGCGGCCCCACCUUCCCAAGUCGAGCUGCUGAUCUCAGGCUCCUGGGUGGACCAGCGCCAGGACCAGGACCAGGGGCACCCUCCCUUCCUAGACUCAAGAGCCGAGGAUGAAUCAGCGUUGAGACAGUUUAUUGAUUCGCAGUUCGCAUAUCACCCAUUUUAAGUAAUCGAUAAUACAGAGACACGGUGUUUCCUUCACGGGAGGUAAUCAGCUCUUUCGCGCGCGCACUCACAACAAAUGUAACACCUCAUGGAGACAUUCACGUCUUAAAAUAGGGGGACAAUACAAUCGCUUUUAAAUGCCCUUAAUACAAUAUAUAACGUACAAAAA